UACGAAGGGGGCUAGCGUUGUUCGGAAUUACUGGGCGUAAAGCGCACGUAGGCGGAUAUUUAAGUCAGGGGUGAAAUCCCGGGGCUCAACCCCGGAACUGCCUUUGAUACUGGGUAUCUCGAGUCCGAGAGAGGUGAGUGGAAUUCCGAGUGUAGAGGUGAAAUUCGUAGAUAUUCGGAGGAACACCAGUGGCGAAGGCGGCUCACUGGACUGGUACUGACGCUGAUGCGCGAAAGCGUGGGGAGCAAACAGG
rnacentral:rRNA from 1 species